rnacentral:rRNA from 1 species
ACUCCUACGGGAGGCAGCAGUGGGGAAUAUUGCACAAUGGGGGAAACCCUGAUGCAGCCAUGCCGCGUGUGUGAAGAAGGCCUUCGGGUUGUAAAGCACUUUCAGUAGGGAGGAAGGUAGUGUAGUUAACACCUGCAUUAUUUGACGUUACCUACAGAAGAAGCACCGGCUAACUCCGUGCCAGCAGCCGCGGUAAUACGGAGGGUGCGAGCGUUAAUCGGAAUUACUGGGCGUAAAGCGCAUGCAGGCGGCCUGUUAAGUCAGAUGUGAAAGCCCGGGGCUUAACCUCGGAAUUGCAUUUGAAACUGGCAGGCUAGAGUCUUGUAGAGGGGGGUAGAAUUUCAGGUGUAGCGGUGAAAUGCGUAGAGAUCUGAAGGAAUACCGGUGGCGAAGGCGGCCCCCUGGACAAAGACUGACGCUCAGAUGCGAAAGCGU